rnacentral:lncRNA from 1 species
CUGGAUUGUCAUUUGAUUUACUGUUUUUCCAGCUCAGCAGCUCGGUUGAGCUGGGUUUAUUAAGAUGAGGCACAGUAACUGUUAAAUAUUUGAUGGUUCUGUACUGAAUCUAGUGAGUGAAUAUUGAUUGACUGUUUUAUUGCUGCACCUGAUCCUGGGCUGGCUCUUAGUUCAUUGUGUCCUAACAGUCCCCUUUAACUACUGACACGUGUCCACUCUGCAUAAUACGCUUAAAAGUAUAGUUCGCCUCUCAACAACAACAACAAAAAAUAUAUAUUUAUUUUUAGUAAAAUCUCUCGAGCCGUGUGUCCAUAUUCCACAUUAUAACUUAUGUUAUUGUGUUGGCAAUUCAUGUGUCUGAUUUGUGGUAAUGUAUUUAACUAGGCUGCAAUUUGUCUUUCUCUGUAUUCCAGAUCAAAACGUUGACUCCAACUGUACUCGAUUCAAAGAGAAAGUGGGAAAUACAACUAGGAAAAGGACUGAAGACCACGACACCUGUGCCACAUCUACCACUAACCCCCCCUUGACCCCUUCAAAACCCACCCUCCUAUCCACUAUGUCUCUCAAUACCUUCCACCUGAUGGAGACCCUCAAGAAAUCCCCGGCUGCUUUACGCCGCCGUUUCCGCCGCGACCGCACAGAGUCCCUCUCCCACGGCGAUCCGCUAUUCAAGGUCCACUACCUGGGCACUGAGAAAAUCUUCUCCCUGGAUCGAGAGCAGGCCCAGGAUGCCAUAGCCCGUCUGCUCGAUGGGGCCGCAAAUGGAAAGAAGCUGAGCAAAGACCACGCGUUAGUUGUUCGUCCACGCUAUGUCGAAGUCAAAGAGCUCAGCACAGGACGCCAGCUCACUAAGACGUACCUCCAGGACAUCGCCUACUGCGCGGCCGACGCCACCAGACCCAACGUGUUUCUGUACAUCUGUAAGCAGCGUGGGCAACAGCUGCAGUGCCGGGUGUUCUGGUGCAGCCGGGCAGAGCGGGCACGGGACAUGACGGCCUGUCUGGCACACUCCUUCCAGAGGGCACUGAGUGACUGGCAGGGGGAUGGCGGAAGUACCGGCACACUGACCCCAGAAAAGGUUGGGGCGAAGGAGGGAGAGGAUAUGCCCACCACCCCUAAUAGCUCCAAAAACUCCAUGCUAACAGCUAGCUUAAGACGAGUCCGUUGGAAGAAGAGGAGGUCCCUGUCUCGCAGUCCACUGAGUGCCAUGAUCAGGAAGAGAUCCACCUCAGACAUCUGGCACUGA